AAAGCAAUGAGCGAACUAUACGCGCACGUGAAAUAUAAACAAAUGCGCGUGAGGCAGAGAGACUGGUGCGAGCCUCACAAAGUUGAAAGUGUUUUGUUCAAAGCUGUAGUCUUAAUUACAAAAAUACCCAUUACAACGUCCAGAUUUGAACUAUGAAGGUCCCAUUGACAUUUUACGUAAUUUGACAGAACAAUACCGGCUGGAAAUUGCGUAUCAAUGCAUAAACCACAUUUUCACGGGUCAAUAAUAUACCUAGUUCUCAGUAAAACGAUUAAAUAAAUAAAUAAUAAUAAUAAACGUAUCGGGACGCGCGAUGCCUACCACUAGUUUGACUAGAGAAAGAUGUCAGUAGGCUAUAACGGAAUGCUUUACCAGUGAUAAGAAACAGAUCAAGCAGCCAGCUAAGGCACAAAAGAGGAAUCAGACUAUUAUGAUAUUGGAAAGUAUAAAAAUCCAUCGUUCAGUGUGUUUUAACAGAUUAUUAACGAGGGAAGUUUUUGGUAUAAUGCGCAGUGAAACCGGCUUUUUGUGCAUGAAUGCCGAAGGCUCCGCUGUACAGGCUUAUAAUGUCUGGAUCGGGCUGCCAUCUAGCGUACAGUAGACAAUUACAGCGACAUAAAAAUGAGUAAUUUAUUGUCAUUUUAAGCAUGUUCCUAAAUGUAGCUCAGAGACGAAUUACGCUGUGGGAUGAAUAUUGUCUGAUUUUUAUUUUAUUGAUGCAUUUAUAAGACACAUAUUAUUUCAAAGUCUUACUUUGAUCAUGAUCUAGUGCAACUUGAUUAACAUUAAGCCUGUUUUAUUUAGCAAUGCCAGUAACUAUAAUUUGUUUUUGCGGAGAAACAAGUUUUGGUCUCUUGCCAGUUGACAUAACCGAGGUGUUUAAAAGAAAAUUAAGUAUUAAAAAAAAACUCUUAGUAGCUUUUAUCAUGACAAAUUCUUUCAUCAGAACUUUCAUAUGAACUCUGCAUCAAAAGUCCAAAACUGUGCGAUAGAAGGGGAGGCAAACAUCGACAUCCGUCCGUUUACGAAACCCUUACAAAUAGGUAGCCUAUUUUCAACUAGACCGCGGAGCUUCCUCCGUCUCUCCUCACACCGAUCCGCAGAAACGCACGCUGCUGUCCUCUGUUCUUUGCAAAGGUGAAACGAAUAAGAUUAAAAGGAACAAAGAGAAACUUCUUUAAGUGUACCAUCAAGGUUUUACUCCACAGACAGGGAAGAGAGCGAGAGGGGAGAGAGGGAGAGGGACAGCGAAUGGGAACACAAGGCACGCAUGAAAACAGUAUUGAAGAAAUGGUAAAGUGGACACUUGGACAUUCAAAGUGCGAGCGCCCAGCGACUGGUGGGUAUCACUUUGGGAUCAGCGGUUUCUCAGUAUGCUCCAUAUUUGAAAGGCAAAGGCGAAUCAUCUAGCUGCCAGUGUGGGGCUCUGUUGAUGGCCUAUGAUUACGGUGGCCGUCACGGGGGAUGAAGAAAAACAGAUUCUCAAAGAUGUGGGCAACUGAGAUAUCCGCAGGGUUUAGGUGGAAAAACACAUGAUCAUGGUUUGAUUGUGCUUAAACAUACACACACAGAAUGUAAAAACAGCACCUGCAUCUCCGUUUACACGUCAUACUCUUGCAGUGUCCCUCUAUCAGUUCUAUCUGUCAGCAAAGGAAAAGAAUGCAGCCAUGAUUCCCGAACGUACAUUCCUCAAAGCAAUCUCUUCACCUCAUAAAACAUCUUUUGAUAAAUAUAGUCAGGUUACCAGAGCUCUUAUUUAAAAAUCUGUGAAAAAGCAUGUUUUCCAAAGUGAAAGAGGACCGAUUACAGACAGCUGUGGCACUCCAAAUGUGCCUCUCCACCCCAUGGUUAGGACAGCAGUUAGUGAGGGACUUCCUGCAUGGAAAGCUGUGUAUGUUUUCCUUCAGUGAAUUGAACAUCCUGCAGAUCUUAAAUUCCAGUCAACAGUAAACUCCCUGACCUCUGAGCACAAAAUUAGGCACAUCAUAUAAGCAAGAGACAAAAGGGAAAGGAAAAGGAGGGACUGCAAAACAAAACAGAAAGAUACAGAUACAAAACAUGACAAAUUAAGAAUGAGAGAUAAUGCAAUUUUUUAUACACAUCUUCUGUUAAAGUUUUUUUAAUUCAUUGUAUGAAAAGGAUUACAGGAAAAGGAAACUAGUUUACAUGAUUAAUUAUAAGCUAUAUGACCAAAACAGUUACAUUUUCCAUAGCAGUAUAUAAUAUAUAUAAUGUCAUCAGGUUAAUUAAGUCAAAUUAAUAUUUUUUUACCACUUAAAACAAAUUUGUGGUUACAUGAUAACAAACAUUUUUUGCAGUAUAACUAAUCACAGGAAAACAUGGGACAAUGAACAAAGCAACCCAUAUAAAAAGAUCUAGUCAUCGUAUUGUAAUGCUCGUAAACAUCCAGACUCUUUUACAUAUAUGUGAGAUCCAUUCCUUUAUUAUGACACAUGCAUGCAAUAUUAGGGAUCAUCUCAUUCUGUAUUAUACCAUUCUGAAGUCUGAUGUUUUCUAUGUCUGAAAACACAAUUAUGUUUUUAGCCAUGAAAGUGUCAGAUUUCAUCUUUUAUUACAUGGACAGGGUUGUCAGUUACAACAUAUGCGGUGAACCCUAUCUGCCAAUGUGUUUAUUGAGCUAUUAUCAAUUGACUGAUGAAACAAACUACUCACCAGUCAACAUAUGUUCCUAAUUUGCUGGAUUUAUUUGAUUUUAAACCACAUGUUUUCUGUUUUAAAUGAUUAUGAAGGUUUGCAAGAGAGCUUUCUUUGCGGAUCACAAACAAUAUGAUUUUUGGCAUUACGAGCAGUGGCGAUUUUGUCCUGGGGAGACGAGAGGCAUUUUAAUCCUUUUUUUUUCUUCUAAGAGGUAUAUUUUACUAUUUAAUAAACAUGGAAAUAAAAUAUGUAACUUCUGCCACCUCAUACCACAAUCACAAAAUAUAUUCAUUGGUUAUAUAGUUUUUUUUUUUUUACCUCCUACCUCUUGUCCUGAAAUAUCCCCAUAUUGCUAGUCAUCUAUAAGACAAAGCUUAAAGGUAAGUGGCAUCCCCUCAUUACCUUGGUUCUGCCUUAUUUAUGUUCCCCACUCCCUGGGGUUUACUUGUGUAGCAGCACCACAAGUACACAACAACUGAUAAAUUCAGAGAUGCCAUACUAUAAUGUAAAUAAUAAUGCAGAGCAGUAAUCCUCUAUGUAUUUUUAAUAUGCAGAAUGUAUAUGAUGUUGAAGUUUGAUAUAUUUGAAUGCCUCCAAAUAAAUUAUUUUGCAUAUGUGCAUAUUAACAUCUUUUCUUCUGUUUCUCAUUGCCUGCGUUUCUCUUUGUCUGAAAUCAUAUGCUUUAUCUGGAGUAUUAUUGUGUACAGCUCUCAAAGGACAGAGAUGUUUCCCAGAGCAGAUCACAUGACCCUAUCAUGUGCUAUCACUGAAGUUGUUCUCUUAUUGGAAGCAGGUCUCCAAGGAAAUGCACUCCUGCAUCACAGUGCCUGAUCACUGGAACAAUACAUUGGGCUGCGGGAUUGCAGCUGUGUGGCGGGUGCCACCAGACUGUUCAUGUCUUGCCUUGUGUGUAUGUGUGUGCCUGUGUGUGCGAGCGAGCGAUCCCUUGGGGCUCUCUCCCUCAGCCCUGGCUCCCUGAUUCGGCAGAAUGCCAGCGUUUGCUGCUUCCCACCUCCUUCCCGGAGACUCCCGGCCAUAAUAGACGGUAAUGGCCUAAGACAAAUCAACCCGUUUCUUGUAAAAAUAGCAGCAAAUAACCCCUGACUUUGCCUCACGAGCGUAAACCAGAGAGAAGCUCGAUUCUGACAGCCACAUUCACAGCGGGCAUUAACCCCAGGAGAAAGCUCGCGCUCCACUUGAACAAAGCCAUAAGUCUUGAAUACUUACAUCCCCCACUCACAGCUCAGAAUGGAUUGGUAAUGACCGACUGUCUGGCUGUGCAGGUUAUAUGCGCUUUGCGCUCGGCCAAUCACAGGAACGAGUGACCUCAGAGACGUUUACAACACCAUCCUACCAAGCAACAGUUUCUGUGCAUUAGUUGAACACAUGGAUAUCAUAUUUAAGCACCACAGUGAGAAGCCUAACAAAUGUAGCCUAUAAACACUCACCCCUGACUGUGUUUGCUAGCUCGGGGGCUGUCGUUGUGAUGUUGCAGGCCUGGGCAGAGGAUGAGAGAGUGUGUGGAGCUCUGGCCAGGACCCUCUAUGUGGACUCUGAAGGGCCUGGAACAUAUAAUAUGCACAAACACACAAAAAAAGAUUAAACAAAAUGUACAGUCAGAGCUGAUGUACAUCCUCAGUCAAGUGGUGAUUCCAAAUCAUUAGUUUAGAAAUGUUCUGUCUGAGUGCAAUACUUCAUAUUAACAGUAGGCAAUUACACCUUGAAAUGGUCACUUUAGGUUUGGAUCACACGAGUGUGAGUGCCGUAAUUCACCCUAUAAAACAGGUAACUGAUAUUACAUCACCCCAGCUAAAAUGGCCUGUGUUUGAAUAUUUUCAAGCGAAAAUGCAUUGCUUUGUUACAUUUAUAUGUAUGCAUUUGGCAAACACUUUUAUCCAAAGCGACUUACAUUGCCUUCAAGGUACACAUUUGCAUUUUUAUCAGUUCUUGCUUUCCCUGAGAACCAAACCCAUGACCUUAGCAUUGCGAGCUACAGGAAAGCCUGUGAUAUUACAGACUAGUUUCUCGAGUUAAAGACUCUCUUUUUUUUCUUCUUUCUUAUACCAUGGUAAGGACAGAAUAGUUUAUAAGGCAAACAAUACAGUCAUAUAAGAACAAACUAAAGAUAUUUCAAUUUGAUAUUUGACAACUUCUAAAACAUUUUUUAAAAGCAUCCAUUCUUUAUUAUUUUUCUUUAAAUAUAUUUAAAAAAAAAAAAACCUUUGACUCUGAUAUUAAAAGCAGUGUAGUCCAGUAAUUUAUGCUUACAAGACAAUAAAGUCUUUACACAGAUAAUCUACAUUACGAUGGUUCUUCACCUUUCAAGUCUUGAAUGAAUGGUUGAUUUCAUAGAAUUCUGAUAUGAAUACACUCAUCCUAUCCCAUUUACCAUUUUUUAAAGAUGUACUCAUUCAGGUUUGAGUUCCCCAUCUCUGUUUGUAUGAGCAGAAUCAUUUACUGUCCACUGAAGGCACUGCAGUGUAAACACUCAGCAGACUUUUUUUUUCCCACAGACCAAAUCAAUCCUAAUGCCCUUUCAGCUCUGUCUAGAAACAAAGUCCUUCAACACUGAUGCUGUGGGUGGAAUUAGGUAAUCUCAGCUAUGAUACUAACUCAUUGCCAGCCUCUUCCCAGGCUCCUUGCUGUCAAGAGCUGUGUUCCUCUCAGAAAAACAACAGUUCUCAGGGGUCCUUACAUCCUUAAGUGGCUCCAGAAAAGGUUAGUUGUCAGGUAAUUGUCCAGCUGCGGUUUGGCUUAUCUUAAUCACAGUGCUUCAACAUAAGCCUGGGUCUGUGUUAUGAAGAGGCUAACGGUGCUAAAGGGGAGGGUGGCUAGCUGAGGGAUUUUGUUGUUCUUUUUCUCUUUUUGUAAAUGCCUGGUGUGCCGAGAUAGCCAAAGCAAAGUAUAGCAAGUUAGCGUCAAGCUACAACACAUAAUGUGGACAAAGUGUUGGACUACUGUUGAUACACACAACAAUAUUUCAUGCAGAAGAAAAACAAAAAGAACAAAUGGAACGGAAACGCAGCAACACCUUUGAGCCAUGUAGAACCAAACAAGCAAGUCAAGGCGCAAUCCAUUUGUCAUGGUUUGUUAUGUAUAUCUGUAAAGUGCAGAAACUUGAGGCUUUGUGAAGCCUUUGAUGUUGCCACUGAGUCACUCUUUAAGGGGACAGCAAGGUUGGAGAGAAUCCAUAACACUAUACAGGGUCCUUUGGUAACAUUAAACAAAAUAACAACGACUAAGAAGGCCUCUUACAAGGGUCAGCAAAUGCAAUCAAACAUCUAUUAACUCUGUACUUCGAAGCCAAAUUAAAAUAUACAAAACGAGCACAGAUCUCUGAUCAUAGAAAUGUUAAAACUGUAAACCGAGUUCAUUCAACCGUUGUAGCCAUUUAUUCUGAUGUAGUUUGCAGUGGUGACACAUAGUCUGCUGUCAUUUUGCUCCACCGACGUCAAAGGUCGAACACAAACUAUAAAAUAUUUGUCGGGGGUCCAUCAAUAAUCCUGACAUGCGGACCCAUACAGUACAAAGCUAGAGGCAGAAUGAACUGUCUCGACAAAAGCAUCUGGUGCACAUGUUGACCCAGAGGCCAAAAGGUUAGCAGCCAGACUCCUCUACCCAUCCCCACUAUGCUUUCAUAUGUUCAUUUGAUGGUCGCUGUGGCAAUUAUAAAGGUAUACUUCAGCCAGGUCUAAUGGACUAGGGGCAAAGAGCAAAGCCUUUACAGUGGGGACCCAAGUCAAAGGUUAGCAUGGCCAUAAGACUGAUUAUGGGGCAUUCGAUGAAAUGGAAAGAUGCGGGCAGCGCACAUGCUGAGCUGCUCAUCUUUAUGCAUAUCUUAACUAUGAACAUGUCUUAUGGAAAACACAUUAAUGAUCAUUUUAGUUGUCAUGCAGUAGACGUUGUUUUUGUUAUCUAGAUUGCCACCGGCUUUUAAUGACUAUUAAAUAUGAAUGGCCAAGGUCAUGAGGGUCGCAGUCUGCAUUUAGAGUGUAUGACCAGUGCCACAUGUAAAGGUUAAAAUGGAAUUGCUUGUGCCAAGUUUAUGAAGAGCCCCAUUUAUGCAGGCCAGCAGGGGUGAUUUAUGACCAGAGAUAAGAGGAAGGAUGGGUGGAAAACUCUUUCUUUUUCAAAUGCAAUCAGCUUCUGUAAAUACGUAGCUUACUUAUAUCCAUCACGCUGUCACAGGGAAUCGCCGUUCCUUUGCUUAGAUGAAAUAACAGCUUUUGUCUGGGUACCGACAACUGUGCUUUUGAAGAACAGUUGUUUUAUCAUUUUGUAUGUGUGUGUGUGUGUGUGUGUGUAUGUAGCUCACUUUCCAAGUUUCCUAAUAUAUUAGCCUAUGCAAUUACAUCAUUCUAAGCAUACCAUAUCACAACAUAUUUAAAAGUAAUCACUCAUUUAAUUCUCUGCGUAAUCCAUUGUAACAGCAGUACUACGUAAGCAGACGGCAUAGUUAAAAGGGUGGAUAGCCUCCUAGCAGACUCUGUUCAUUCAAUUGGUCAUAUAAAAGCAAAACUGUAUUUUACUUGGCAUCUGAUUCAGAAGCGACUGCAUGUCUCAUCAUUUCUACCUGCCCCCAUAACUAGUUAACGUUGUUGAAUACUUGGUCUGGUUUAAUUAGGUAUAAAACAAUUCAUUUUGAUUGAAACAAACCAGAUUUUUGGCAUUCCAUAAUGUGUCCAAAAGGUACAUUUGAUCUGCUAUCAGAACAGCCACAUAUUCACAGCUAAACUGGGAUGUUUUGUCACUGAAUACCACAGCCAAGAACAUUUGUGGAUCUUUGGCCCUUAAAUCUGAAAACCACUCAGUGGUAUGAUCUUUGUGAAACUGCACCCCAGUGGCUCAGGGUCUGGCUGAAAUGGAAAAAAAAGAACGAGAAGAUGUGCUUUGAACUCUUUGCCAAAACGGAAACACGGUCUAGUGCUGCUCAUUUUAACGAGUCGUAAGAACUAUUUUUGUUCCCUCAUAGUAAUAAAUUUGGUCUUUCCUUUUUAUGUAAGCUUAAUGUUUUUCUAGGUGUGGAUCAAAGGGUGAUAAUUCGGAAAACCAUACGCAUCAAUACAUUUUACCUCAUGCCUCUCAAUGUCACACACAAAUCCUGUUUAAUUUUUACUAUAUGUUGCACUUGGACUUCAGCAACCAACUUCAGCGGUGAAAGAAUGAAAAUAUAUUGAAGCACUGUGGGAAAAGUCAAACAAAAAAGUUAAUACAACAAACCCAAAUAUUGGUUUGAUGACUGACAUUUGAAAUAGGGCAUAGGGUGGAUGUAACUUAAGUCUAAGUACACUCUUCCCCCUUUUCACACACCCCUCUGGGUGACUGUUAUUAAUGCUAUUUCCUCUCGUCAUAUUAUGUCAUACGGGACAUUUAAAGAACGUCAUCUUCCGUAAGGGCCCUGCAUUCUGCCAGUAGUCAGAGUACAAAUCAUCAUCAGACCAGACAGAGUCAUCAUCACUGUCCUCCUAUAAGUUAUAAAGUGCUGUUCAUCUCUCUUCUAGUUCUUUGGAAGGUUUUUUUAUUAUUAUUUUUUUUUUUAUCUUUUUUUUUUGUCUGCAGCAUUUCAUAUCAGCAUAUGGUUUGAAAUAUGACUAGCCUAAAUGAUUUGUAUGAAUUUGAGCAUGUGUGAUGUUUUGUCUCUUAUUAAAACAGAUCAACUAGCUACUCUCUGAAGACUUCCCACCUGGCUGUUUGUGUGUUCAGGGAACAGAGCUUUACAUUAAAAUAUGAUUUUAUCAAUAGUGUGAUCAAUAGUGUCAGCCCGCCGUUGUGUAAUUAUUCUGGCCUCAUGUAUCAAUAAAGCCGCAAUAAAGCUGUCAUGCUUGAUCUCUUGGUCGUGAAUAUGCUGAAAGCAGUCAAAAAAAUUUCCAAACGUCUUUUGUUGUUGUUGUUGUUGUUGACAAACAGCACUUUAUAUAUCCUUAUCUCUAUCACUAAAGAAAAUCCUAACAUCAUUCAAGUGUAUGGCCAUCAAUGCAAAGCCAAUAAA